rnacentral:rRNA from 1 species
UACGUAGGGGGCAAGCGUUGUCCGGAAUCAUUGGGCGUAAAGAGCGUGUAGGCGGCCCGAUAAGUCCGCCGUGAAAGUCCAGGGCUCAACCCUGGAAUGCCGGUGGAAACUGUCGGGCUGGAGUCCGGAAGAGGCGAGUGGAAUUCCUGGUGUAGCGGUGAAAUGCGCAGAUAUCAGGAAGAACACCAAUGGCGAAGGCAGCUCGCCGGGACGGUACUGACGCUGAGACGCGAAAGCGUGGGGAGCAAACAGG